rnacentral:rRNA from 1 species
UGCAGUCGAACGAUGAUGCCCAGCUUGCUGGGCGGAUUAGUGGCGAACGGGUGAGUAAUACGUGAGUAACCUGCCCUUGACUCUGGGAUAAGCCUGGGAAACUGGGUCUAAUACUGGAUACUACCUCUUGCCGCAUGGUGGGUGGUGGAAAGGGUUUUACUGGUUUUGGAUGGGCUCACGGCCUAUCAGCUUGUUGGUGGGGUAAUGGCUCACCAAGGCGACGACGGGUAGCCGGCCUGAGAGGGUGACCGGCCACACUGGGACUGAGACACGGCCCAGACUCCUACGGGAGGCAGCAGUGGGGAAUAUUGCACAAUGGGCGGAAGCCUGAUGCAGCGACGCCGCGUGAGGGAUGACGGCCUUCGGGUUGUAAACCUCUUUCAGUAGGGAAGAAGCGAGAGUGACGGUACCUGCAGAAGAAGCGCCGGCUAACUACGUGCCAGCAGCCGCGGUAAUACGUAAGGGCGCAAGCGUUGUCCGGGAAUUAUUGGGGCGUAAAGAGCUCGUAGGCGGUUUGUCGCGUCUGCUGUGAAAGCCCGGGGCUCAACCCCCGGGUCUGCAGUGGGUACGGGGCAGACUAGAGUGCAGUAGGGGAGACUGGAAUUCCUGGUGUAGCGGUGAAAUGCGCAGAUAUCAGGAGGAACACCGAUGGCGAAGGCAGGUCUCUGGGCUGUUACUGACGCUGAGGAGCGAAAGCAUGGGGAGCGAACAGGAUUAGAUACCCUGGUAGUCCAUGCCGUAAACGUUGGGCACUAGGUGUGGGGGACAUUCCACGUUUUCCGCGCCGUAGCUAACGCAUUAAGUGCCCCGCCUGGGGAGUACGGCCGCAAGGCUAAAACUCAAAGGAAUUGACGGGGGCCCGCACAAGCGGCGGAGCAUGCGGAUUAAUUCGAUGCAACGCGAAGAACCUUACCAAGGCUUGACAUUCACCGGACCGCCCCAGAGAUGGGGUUUCCCUUCGGGGCUGGUGGACAGGUGGUGCAUGGUUGUCGUCAGCUCGUGUCGUGAGAUGUUGGGUUAAGUCCCGCAACGAGCGCAACCCUCGUUCUAUGUUGCCAGCACGUGAUGGUGGGGACUCAUAGGAGACUGCCGGGGUCAACUCGGAGGAAGGUGGGGAUGACGUCAAAUCAUCAUGCCCCUUAUGUCUUGGGCUUCACGCAUGCUACAAUGGCCGGUACAAAGGGUUGCGAUACUGUGAGGUGGAGCUAAUCCCAAAAAGCCGGUCUCAGUUCGGAUUGAGGUCUGCAACUCGACCUCAUGAAGUCGGAGUCGCUAGUAAUC